rnacentral:rRNA from 1 species
AUACGGAGGGUGCAAGCGUUGUUCGGAAUUACUGGGCGUAAAGCGCGCGUAGGCGGUCUGUUAUGUCAGAUGUGAAAGUCCUCGGCUCAACCGGGGAAGUGCAUUUGAAACUGGCAGACUUGAGUACUGGAGGGGGUGGUGGAAUUCCCGGUGUAGAGGUAAAAUUCGUAGAUAUCGGGAGGAAUACCGGUGGCGAAGGCGACCACCUGGCCAGAUACUGACGCUGAGGUGCGAAAGCGUGGGGAGCAAACAGGAUUAGAAACCCUAGUAGUCC